rnacentral:lncRNA from 1 species
UUUAUCUCUCUCUUUUCAUGUCUCAUUUCCUGAAUUUGAGAAAGUUUGUUAUUCAUGCUUGUUUCGCCCUCUUUCUCAUCACGUGGCUUUUCUUUCAUUACAUUACCAUCUCCUUUUAAGAUAACCUUGUCCUCAAGGUUGAAGGUUAGGUAACUAGCUGCCAUGACUUCCACAUCCUCCCACAUAGCUUCUUCCUGCAAGUUAUUCUCCCACUGGACCACAAUUUGUGGAACUUGCCUUGAUCCUUUGAUGAUAGUUCUUGUUGCUAACACCUGUAUUCGUUGCAUAAUAUGUUCCAUUUCUGAUACAGUUAAAGGUAACGGCAUAUACGGCUCACUAGCAGGUCCUUUGAACAACUUCAACUGCGCCACAUGGAAAAUGGGGUAGAUUCUCGUAGUUGACGACAACUCUAGCUUGAAUGCCACGGUGCCAAUCUUAGCCAAAACUUUGAAGGGCCCAAAAUAUUUCAUAGAUAGUUUCUGAUUUUUGCGCAAGGCAAUUGAAUGUUGUCCAUAUGUUUGUAGCUUGACCAUAACGGUAUCACCCACUUGUAAGGAUACCCAUGCCCUCUUCUUUUCUGCAUUGCUUUUCAUCACUUGUUGUGCUCUCAACAAGUUAGCUUUCAAUGUAGCUAACAAUUUCUCCCUGUUGUUUAGCUUUUCUAUAACCUUCGGGGGAUCCGCUAUUUAAUAAACUAGUUUGGCCCAAGUUAGUGGUUCUCUCCCAUACAAUGCUUUAAAAGGGGUCAUGUCCGCACUCAUAUGAUAUGCAGAGUUGUACCAAGAUUCUGCGAGUGGUAGUUCCUUGACCCAACCUUUAGGAUUUCCGUAUGUUAAACAUCAAAGGUACGUUUCUAAACAUUUACUCAAAAUCUUUGAUUUCCCCUCUGAUUAGGGAUGAUACACCGAUGACAUUGCCAACGUGGUGCCCUGCAGUUUGAACAGAUGUUGUCAAAAGGAGCUAGUGAAAAUUUUAUCCUUGUCAGACACGAUCAAUUUUGGGAUCCAUUGCAGUUUCACUAUGUGAUUCAUAAAUGUCUCUGCUACACUCUUACUACUAUAGUCAGCCUUUAAUGGUAAGAAGU